rnacentral:lncRNA from 1 species
GUGGCACCUGAACAGGGACUAACAGGGACAGAGACCUGGAGAGCUUUGAGACACCUGCCAUAUGUUGUCUUUAGUAAUUGCUACAGCUCCCUUCUCUAUACAAUGUGUCUCACCACAACAAAGUAGGGGAAAGGAUGGAGAUUAGGAGAUUUACCAACACCUCUUUUCUCAUUUGCUCAACAUUCCUGGUCAAUGCAAAACUUCAGCAACCCAAUGCAUAAUCGACCAUCAUACUUGUAUUAAUUUCCUACACGAAUGUGUAAGGGGCACCUUAGGCUUGCUGGAUUCCUCAACUAAAGAAAAGAGAUUCAUGUUAAACAUUGUCUCCAUCUACUACUCUACUUCUCCUUGGCCUUCAGAACUGGUGGUGCUGGGAUCAUUCUCACGAUUUCACCUUCUAUCUACAAGCUUAAGACUCCCCAAAUUUAUAUCUAUCUCUACAUGUUUAAUGGAUGUCUUCACUUAAAAGUCAUCAGGUACCUCAAAUAUGCUCAAGAUGUAAUGUAGCAUCUUCUUCCCUAACCAUGAUAUAUUUCUCAAAUUGGACACUCUGUUUACAGA